AGAUGGUUGUCAUAUUUUUCAAAUAUCACGUGUAACAAACAGUGCUGCUACUGUCUUAGCGUCAUGACUUUGUUCUUAUCUGGAAAUUGUACAAAUACCACACCUUUUGUCAUGACAGGACCACUUCCACUUAUUAGGACUUUUGAUAUUUGUGCUGUCACUUGGGAGAAUGUUGAUCAUUUUGUUCAUGCCACUCUUGAGGUUAUAACAACCGCUUUUUUGUUUAGCUGUGUCUUUUUUUCCACAGGUGAAUUUAGUUUUUUUUCUCAUGCUUGAUUUCAAGAAACUGGUGCUUCACUGAAAGAUGUUUAAAUUUCCUGAGAGAAAAUGUUGG
rnacentral:lncRNA from 1 species